rnacentral:lncRNA from 1 species
AAGUAACAACAUUGGGAUGCUCAGGCAUAUGCCUCAUGAUCUCAACUUCUCUCCUAACAUCCUCUAUAUCCACAGCCGUCCUCAGCUUCUUCUUCAGAAUCGACUUACACGCGAAGACCUCUUCGGUCUCUUUGUCGGUGCAUAGGUACGUGACACCGAACUCUCCACGGCCUAGCUCUCUCCCCAGCUUGUAUUUCUGCGAGAUCUCGCGUCCUGUUGGAUCCGUUAGCACGAUAAGCUUGAGAGGUUUUACCUUUACUCCUCCGUUGUUAUUGCCGUGGUGGAGACCGUAGUCGAUGGAGAAAGGGUUUUGCUUCUUCCUUCCUUUUGUGGGCUUGUUGUUAUCGUUAUUGGCUAACGAUCCCGCAGAGCCGCAACAAUUACCCAUGGCUUCAACAAUGACGGAUCAAGUCAAAACGGUUGUAGCUCGAGAGAUCGAGGGAACUUAAUUGGGUAUAGAUUCACGAGGUGAUUCCAAGAUAAUGGGGAAGAUCAAAGGAUGGUUACUUGGAAUGAAAAUACGUGGAUGAGACGGAUAUAUAUGUGGGAAUGGAGGGAGGAGAAGAAGAUCAUAAACGCGUGAAAAUCAAAGAAGAUGGAUCGAAUCAACGUCAAAAUAUUUUUCUUGUUUUUAUGUUUUGUCUGAAAAUCAUGAAAAUAAUUUACAGACAUGAUGGAAGGAAAGUCAACAGAAUCUUCCUCCCUAUUCUACAGAAUCUUCCUCCCUAUUCUGUCUUGAUUUUUUUUUAUUUAUUUUAUAUAUUUUCUGUAUUUUGUUUUUCCUUUUUUCAAAUUUCUUUCUUUCUGUUGAAAAAAAUGAUAAAUCUUUUUUAUUUCUUUCUGUGUUUUUUUAAAAAAAUUUCUUUACUUAUAAAAGUUAUUAACUUCAAGAAUGUGUUUCCACUUUCCAAUAAUGUGAAAUCGAAAUCACUGGUAAAUAUAAAACUCUUAACAGAGAAAAAUAAAUAAAAACGCGAGUCUGUAUCACGUUUUAGCUGAACUGAGGAAGGUAAUAAUUGUAAAUAAUAAUAGCCGUCUUCUUUAUUUCUUUUUGUUCUCUUUUUUUUUUUUCUAUUAUUACGGUCAAACUAGGCGCUUUGACUCUUUCGUCGGACCCAAGUCACGCAACUAAGAGCAUCUCCAAUGGUGUUACCACCAUUGGAGUCCUUAACAUUAUUAAACUAUUUUUUUUUUAAUUUGAAUAGUUAAGGAUCUUAAUCAAAAUUGUAUCUCCAAUGGUGUUUUCUAAUUUGAAAUCCUUAGGAUAUGACAAAAUGAGAGCAAACAUACACAAGUAUCCAGCGUAUACAAAAAUAUAGAGGCACCAAACCCAUUGAUACCAACAUUUCUUAUUAGCAUCCUCUGAAAUACUCAAGACAUGUUGGAUGAGCCUGUUGCAGGGAUUGAAUGACUGACAACAAACGGAGGGCGGAGAGCUUUGUGGUUGGCUUGCUUCUUUGCGAGCUUUGAACAUCUCCUCCGGCUCAACAACAACCAUCCUUUUGACCUGCUCACCAAAAGAAACUCGUUUGAAGUUAGUAUCACGCUUGAGAGAAGAACAUGACAUGUAACAAAGUGAGACAAAAAAAAAGCAUAAGCAUAAGCAAAACCUGUUGAAUCAUUCCUCUAAUGGAAGAAGUGUUAGAGUGCAAAACAGUGCGAUGGCAUCUGCGGAGUCCCAUAGCCUCGAGUGUACGCCUGUGAAGCUUCCUGGUUCCAGGGAGACCUCUCACUAAGGUUAUGUACAAGCUCUCGCUCCAUUGAAUGGGCACCUGUGCUUUGAAUGCUCUAAACCCACUCAUCCUUUUAUGUCUCUCUGUUAACCAAUGAGAAAAAAUCAUCACAACACACAAAAAAGAAGAAGCUAUACAUCACUAAAGCAUGAGUCAAAACUUCUCUACAAUCUUAGCCAAAUCAAACAGUCAGCUUCAAUUUUCAAAAAGCAAAGACUAAAUCAAAUUUGGAGUCUUGAAGGAUGCUCAGUAUGAAUCUAUCAGAAAUAAGAAUUCAGAGACAGGAUUCUCGAUAUGGAUCUCUUAAAUUGACAUAUGAACGAGGCAAUCAAUGACUUGUGGUACGAGUCGGGGUAGGAGAGGGAGAUAUACCUUAUGCGAGAGUUCCGGUGAAAGCGAUCGGUGAGGAUUAUUAACUGAAGACGGCGAACAGAGCUCGGAGAUGUAUGAGCUUCUGCGCCGUUGUUCGAGCCCGACGAGCUUGCUUCGUGGUCCUUCUGGAGAGCCGGAAUCGCCGAGUUCAUCGCCACGUUUCUCUUCCUUUACAUCACUGUGUUGACCUUCGCUCUCGUCUACUGCACCGCUGGUAUAUCCGGUAAGUCACCACCACACUCCAGAUUCUCCGAUCUGACGGUUUCUAGUUUUUUCAGAUUCUUCGUUAUCUAGAUAGAUAGAUGGUAGAUCACAAUUGAUUUCAUCACAAGCUCUGCCACGUCACUAAGGACUAAGGUGUUUAAAUCCUUAAUUAAGGAUCAUUCUUAACUUUACCUUCCUCUUUUAAUAUUUUUUUAAUCAAAAAGCAUUAAGGAUUUUGACUAAGGAUUGCACAUUUUUUACCGUUGUACAUGCUCUUACAUCUCUUAAACAUGUCCUGAGUAGAAACAAUAUAGGGGCACUGCAGUUAUUAGCAAAAGUUAUGGGGUAUCUAAUGGAUAGAAAAAGUUAUGGGCAUUACUAUAAAUAGCAAAAAUAUAGUGAAUGAACAGCGGAAGAUUUGGAGCAAAAGUUUCAGGAAAGUUAACACACAAAAUUAUAGAUAUGGGUUGACUUAUAUCCUAUGUAGGAUAUUUAAGUUUACCAAUUUGAUGCAGUUUUUUUUGACAAAACCAAUUUGAUUCAUAUUAAUCUGAAUAAACUUGAUUUGAUCAUUUAUUUAACGAAUUAGAGUUUGAGGUGAUUUUGUUUAAUAGAGUGAAAAUAAUUAUAAUGAUGUCAAACACUAAUUUUAAGCAUGUGGUGUUUAGUUUAGCUGUCACGUUAUUUAUAGUUUUAUAUAUUUGAUCUGUACUAUUUAAAAUUUAAUACAGUAUGAUGUAUUAUAUAUUUAUAUAUUACUGUCUAUAGUUGAUAUUAACACGUUAUAAAAGAACGGCUCCAUCUUACCAAGUAAUUUGUAAGCUUUAUCUAUGCUUAGAAAACCCGUAGGCUGUAACGAAACCAUCAGUACAUAAUCCAAGGUAGACAUUUCUUCUCUCAUACGCAAAGUCGGGAUACUUUGAUUGGAAAUGCUUCCACGCUUUUGCAUCUGAAGGAUGUCUGAUCUCACCAUCUGUUGAGUGCUCCGCAUGCCAUCUCAUUGGUUGCGCUGUGCGUUCAGACAGAUACAACCUCUGCAACCUUUCCNNNNNNNNNNNNNNNNNNNNNNNNNNNNNNNNNNNNNNNNNNNNNNNNNNNNNNNNNNNNNNNNNNNNNNNNNNNNNNNNNNNNNNNNNNNNNNNNNNNNNNNNNNNNNNNNNNNNNNNNNNNNNNNNNNNNNNNNNNNNNNNNNNNNNNNNNNNNNNNNNNNNUAAAAUUUAUUUUAAUAAAAUAAAUCAUUCACAAAAUGACACGUAGAAGAAAAUUAAGAAACUAAGCUAAGAGAUGUCUUAGAGCAUCUCCAAUGGUGUUACCACCAUUGGAGUCCUUAACAUUAUUAAACUAUUUUUUUUUUUAAUUUGAAUAGUUAAGGAUCUUAAUCAAAAUUGUAUCUCCAAUGGUGUUUUCUAAUUUGAAAUCCUUAGGAUAUGACAAAAUGAGAGCAAACAUACACAAGUAUCCAGCGUAUACAAAAAUAUAGAGGCACCAAACCCAUUGAUACCAACAUUUCUUAUUAGCAUCCUCUGAAAUACUCAAGACAUGUUGGAUGAGCCUGUUGCAGGGAUUGAAUGACUGACAACAAACGGAGGGCGGAGAGCUUUGUGGUUGGCUUGCUUCUUUGCGAGCUUUGAACAUCUCCUCCGGCUCAACAACAACCAUCCUUUUGACCUGCUCACCAAAAGAAACUCGUUUGAAGUUAGUAUCACGCUUGAGAGAAGAACAUGACAUGUAACAAAGUGAGACAAAAAAAAAGCAUAAGCAUAAGCAAAACCUGUUGAAUCAUUCCUCUAAUGGAAGAAGUGUUAGAGUGCAAAACAGUGCGAUGGCAUCUGCGGAGUCCCAUAGCCUCGAGUGUACGCCUGUGAAGCUUCCUGGUUCCAGGGAGACCUCUCACUAAGGUUAUGUACAAGCUCUCGCUCCAUUGAAUGGGCACCUGUGCUUUGAAUGCUCUAAACCCACUCAUCCUUUUAUGUCUCUCUGUUAACCAAUGAGAAAAAAUCAUCACAACACACAAAAAAGAAGAAGCUAUACAUCACUAAAGCAUGAGUCAAAACUUCUCUACAAUCUUAGCCAAAUCAAACAGUCAGCUUCAAUUUUCAAAAAGCAAAGACUAAAUCAAAUUUGGAGUCUUGAAGGAUGCUCAGUAUGAAUCUAUCAGAAAUAAGAAUUCAGAGACAGGAUUCUCGAUAUGGAUCUCUUAAAUUGACAUAUGAACGAGGCAAUCAAUGACUUGUGGUACGAGUCGGGGUAGGAGAGGGAGAUAUACCUUAUGCGAGAGUUCCGGUGAAAGCGAUCGGUGAGGAUUAUUAACUGAAGACGGCGAACAGAGCUCGGAGAUGUAUGAGCUUCUGCGCCGUUGUUCGAGCCCGACGAGCUUGCUUCGUGGUCCUUCUGGAGAGCCGGAAUCGCCGAGUUCAUCGCCACGUUUCUCUUCCUUUACAUCACUGUGUUGACCUUCGCUCUCGUCUACUGCACCGCUGGUAUAUCCGGUAAGUCACCACCACACUCCAGAUUCUCCGAUCUGACGGUUUCUAGUUUUUUCAGAUUCUUCGUUAUCUAGAUAGAUAGAUGGUAGAUCACAAUUGAUUUCAUCACAAGCUCUGCCACGUCACUAAGGACUAAGGUGUUUAAAUCCUUAAUUAAGGAUCAUUCUUAACUUUACCUUCCUCUUUUAAUAUUUUUUUAAUCAAAAAGCAUUAAGGAUUUUGACUAAGGAUUGCACAUUUUUUACCGUUGUACAUGCUCUAACAAUAAUUUAUUAUUGCCAUCCUUACUAACAGCAUAACUGAAAAUAUGCCAAAUCAAAUAUAUUACUAGAAUUUUAUUUUUGGUUUUUUCAACUGUGGACAUUCUUGAUUAUUGAUAUGAGAAUUUGCUAUUUUUCUUAGAAGAAGCAAAAGCUAUAGAAAGGUGUUAGUACGGGAAACUUCCUUACAAGUUAAGACUAUAUUACGAAAAUACUAUUAAAAAGCAAAGUCAGUGGAGUAUGAAACGAGAAAGCGAGAGGACGAGACUUUGUCAAAAUGUGUUUAGAUUUAUUUGAGAUCCAAAGAUCAAUGAUAGUGAUGAACCUUACUUAAUCCUUUCAUAUUCACACGAGUGUUUCUGUUAAUCCUAGUUUCUUACCAAGAUAAUGAUUUCUUUAAUUUGUUUACUUACAUAGUUACAUUAACACAAAAAGGUCAAUUAUCAUUAAAAAUAUAUUAGGCAAUCAACUUAAGAGAUUUAUCUUUGUUUUCUAGAAAACCUUCCAUCAUUAUUUCAUUGCUAAAGACUUUUGCAUGUUGCCCAUCAAAGCUCUCUCUGACCCAAAAACAUUGAAAGGCUUUCUAGACCCAUUAAUGAAUUAUGGUAGAAGACCAGAUGAGCAAGAAACACAAAUGAGAACUCUGAAAAGAGAUCAUUUAGUUCACAUUUAACAUUUCACACUAUUACAUUUCAAUUUUCAUAAAGUAUAAUAGGAUAGGUAUGAAAGUAUAAAAGUAUAAAAGAAUAAUCAUCCUAAUCUAGUUACAAUUUAUUCUAACCAGGCAUCUCAGAGUUUGAUUAAAAAAUUCGCCCAACUUGUAGUGCUCUAGUUUUGGAAUGACAAACCUAUACAUGUAUUGCUAUCUUAUGUGGAAAACAUACAAUAGAUAUUACAUUCUAUUUAUACACAUUGAUUCCCAGUAGAAUAUGGUACGUUUGUAGCAUAUAUAUUAUUAUACACAAGAAAAAGAAAUACUUGGAGAUGGAAUGAAACGUCGCUUAGCUAGGAGAUAGAGAAAAAUGAACGUUUGGCCGGAGGUCUUCCCACGGCUCUCAUGAGAUUAGAGACUUCAAGAACCCUAGCAACCUCCGUUCCUCUUUUUGCUUCCGCCGUCGCUCUCCUCUCCUCCGCCUUCCUCUGAGCUUUGGCCACUUUGUUCUGUGUUUUCUCCAUCGCCUUUGCUCUCCUUUCUUCCAACUUCCUCUGCAGCCAAUCAUCAUCAACAUUACAACAUACAUAUUGUCAUUAAACGCUUUAAAACACUUUUCUAAUAUAUGUGUGACAAACGUUCAUAAAAAUAAUAUAUAAGUUUAAAACCUUAUUCCUUUGAAAUAUAUUUUAACGUACACACGGGGUUACAAGACUAUAAUCUAUAUAAUCUCAAAAUAAUAUGUUAAGAAAUCAAUAUUAACUAGUGUUGUACAUAAACUUAACAUAACUAGUUAACUAAUGCGAUCUACUAUAAACAAACCUCGAUUUUCUUCAUCCAAGAGUUAGCUUUAUGGACCUGCUCAUUUAACCAACCGUUAAUAAAAGCCUCUUGUCUCUUAAACCUAUUAUUAAUCUUAGCCAACUUCGCCGUCUGCCACGCCGUUAUCUUAGCUUCCACCUCAUCCCUCUUCACCCUCUGCACCGAGGCAGCCGUCACCAUCCGAUUCUGACCACUUGAUGAAGUCGUCGUCACAAUAUUCUCCGAACCGGCCCGGUUAUCGUAACCGUCCGGUACGAUCGCCCACGGGUUUGUAUCUUCUUCAGGCACCUGAUGAUGCUGAUCACCACCACCACCGUCUUCAUCUUCACUGAUCCUAGUCAGCUCGUUUAUGACGUCACGAUGACUUAUGGAUUGGUUGUUCCCGUUGCUGUUGUUGUUGUUGUCCAUGGAAGAGCCUGCGAUGACUAGAGCGUUGAACUCUCUGCUCACCGUGGUGAAGUUCUCUCCGGCAGAAGAAGCUCCGUCGCUAAAGUUCACAGACCUCGUCGGAGACAAGUGUCCUCCUCUUUGCUGUGGACGUGGAAGCUCGGUGGUCGUCAUAGCGUGAAUAUCUCUCACGACGGUCUCAGACGGUGGAGUCUCGUCCCGGCUAUCGGAAGCAUCGGUAGUCGUGGUGGUGAUCUCUGUUGAUGAGCUAUCUUGACUGUACAAAGUCAACAUCAGAGUUGUGGCUAGCUAGUAGUAUACUGGACUGUGUGAUUAGAAGCUGAGCUCUUGAUGAUACUAAUUAGACGAUGAAAGAAGGACACCAAGGCAAGGAAGAAUAAAUAAUCAAUGAUUAUGGCUUAAUCAUUUUGUGUAACGAAUUGUUUAGAUGAGAGGUGAAAAUAUUAACAAGUGUCAGAGUCUAUUCCAUGAAAGCUACGUUCGUCCAGUAAAUAAGCGACUACAUUAAUAUUUUUCAAAGACGUGUUCUCUUAGAUAUUUUAGCAAGAGAUUGAUUAACUAAUUCAAUUCGGUGGAAAAUUAAUUGAUUUAAAUUAAGCCUAAUUUAAUUUUACACACUUUUAACCUAAUUCGAUUCAAUAUUUUUUAUUUAUUCAAGAGCAUCUUCAGAGAUCUUUAAAAUUAAAAGGGGACUUUAAUCAGCGGGUAGUCUUUUUAUUUAUAAGAAUAAUUUCAUGAAACUUUCACAUUGCAAUAGAUCAAUUUCUCUUGAUUUUUUCUUUUGAAAUGGAAAGAAUUAUCGUAGUGCAAGGAGUGUCGGCAAUAGGGGACCUACCACGAAAAUGGGAUAAUGCUUGUGGACCAAGCUACAAGCUAACACGUGUCUCUCGGUAAUAAAAGUUACGUACGUGUCAUUAAAUGAGUGGUAGCGUGUCCCCGCCAAAAUAAGAUGCCCACGUCAGCUUUUGAAUGUGCUCGAAGAUCCCAGUAGGAAAAUGGCACGUAUCAAAUGUCAAUUUAUAUCAUAUCUACCCUUGUUAUUUUUUACUCAAUUAUACUAGUUUCUUAUAAUAUCUCAUACAUUUGACCCACAUGAUUAGUAUUUUAUAUAAAUAGUAUCACUUUGUCAAAAGUUUUAGAGUAACAUUGCUAGUUUGCUUUGCUGCUCAAAUAGUUAAAGACGAGUAAAAUCAAGAAAGAUAUAGAAACUUGGACUGAUACAUAUCUCGAGAAGAAAAAAGUUGAUACGAUGCAGAUUUGAUCGUGGCAUAAAGGGUUUAUAAAAUAUGUUUCUACCAGGACUGGACAUUUCAUCCGUUAAAUUUGAUUCGAUUUGUUAUUCGUUUCGAUUCGAUCCGAAAUUUUAGGAUAUCCGUAAAUUUUUGAAGCAAAACAAAUAUACUAAAAAUCAAUAUACGUUAAAAUCGAAACAAAUCACAAAUAUCAAAAUUUUGGGAAACGGAUAUCUGCUCCGAUCCGGAAAUAUAUAAAUAUAUGUACAUCUUGAUUAUACUUAAUGCUUUAAAUGUAUAAGUUUAUAUAAUUAUUUUAUAACAUAUGAUUUGACAAAUUCUAUUCACAUUAUUACUUAUAUAAAAGUAUUACAUAAAAAAGGAGAGAAAAAUAUUAUAAAACAAUUAUAAUUUUUAUUUUUCUUAAGUUUUGUGUUAUUAUAAUUGUUAACUAAGUUUAAAAUUUACAAAAUAUGUAGUUUCACUAUUUCUUUUAGUUUUUAUUUUAUAUAUCAUGCAAAAAAAUAUAUUAAAAACUCAUCCUCAUAAGUCUCCUUCAAAGUAACAACAUUGGGAUGCUCAGGCAUAUGCCUCAUGAUCUCAACUUCUCUCCUAACAUCCUCUAUAUCCACAGCCGUCCUCAGCUUCUUCUUCAGAAUCGACUUACACGCGAAGACCUCUUCGGUCUCUUUGUCGGUACAUAGGUACGUGACACCGAACUCUCCACGCCCUAGCUCUCUCCCCAGCUUGUAUUUCUGGGAGAUCUCGCGACCUGUUGGAUCCGUUAGCACAAUAAGCUUGAGAGGUUUUACCUUUCCACCUCCGUUAUUGCCGUGGUGGAGGCCGUAGUCGAUGGAGAAAGGGUUUUGAUUCUUCCUUCCUUUUGUGGGCUUGUUGUUAUCGUUCUUGGCUAACGAUCCCGCCGACCCGCAACAAUUACCCAUGGCUUCAACAAUGACGGAUCAAGUCAAACCCGGUCGUAGCUCGAGAGAUCGAGGGAACUUAAUUGGGUAUAGAUUCACGAGGUGUGAUUCCAAGAUAAUGGGAAGAUC